CUUGAUCGACCCGAGCAACAGCGGGGUCUCCCGGUCGCGGCCGUAGGUCGCCAACAGCGCUUGGGCCUC
rnacentral:antisense_RNA from 1 species